CCCCCCCAUCCCCCGGUCGCGCCUCCGUCCCAGGCGCUCCACCGGUGGGGGACGAUGCUUUGUGCUGCCGCUCGUCGGUGGGGGCGAGGCUUUGCGCUGCCACCCGCUGAAGACACGCCGCGCCGGACGGUGAAUGGGCCCCAAGCUGCGAGGCCGUCGAUGGCCCCCCACGUUGAUGAACCCCCAAGUCGCGAAGCUCCGAUGUUCCCAAGAUCCAGCCACGUUUCCUCCAUCUGUAGUUGCCGCACAUGGUACAGCGAGGCUGCCUCCCCAAGCAAGUUCAUGGUGGCAUCCUCCUUGACGUGAAGAAAGCAAGGUAUACAAUGGGAGAAUCUCUCCAGGAAGGUCACCAAAAGAAAGCAAGGUAUUGAGUUUCUUCUCUUCUAGCAGUUCACAUGACAAAUCCAGUAAAUCUGUCGUAUCUCUGAACUCCUAUCAGAUGUAUUUCAAAUUGCAGUAACCAAUUGAUAGUUAUGAUGAAUUUUGUGAUAGGCUGAUAGUGAGAUAGGGUACUAGACUAAUGCCAGUGCUUGCUCUACCUAGCUGGUGAUUAUUUUCCUCAAUAAAAUUAAACUGUGUCAUAUUUUAACAGAACAAUCAGAUUGUCCAAAACUUGAAGUAUUAUGGUGAUAUAGCGUCGACUAGCAUAUAUUUGUGUGAUGCUUUCAUGCUACAGGUGUAUGGUACUUGAUAGAUUUAAUAAGUGCAAUACUACUGUCAUUUGCCCAGUGAUGAAUUACAGUUAAGUUGUGAGGGCUAUUUCUUACAAUGUUGCCUUAUGCUAUUUUGUAUUAGUUAUGUACUAUGAUAGUUGCAUUAGACUUGCCAAAUUUCUAGAUUAUGUGUCACAUGGAAAAUACUGCCUCUUGUUGUAGAGCAUUCUGUGGACCAAACAACGAGCUCAAGUUUUUUUGUUGUAGAACAAUCGGAUUGCUUGCUCAUUUGGAAUUUUUUUUGUAGGUGAGGAUAUGUGUACAGGCAGUUCAAUGUUUGUCAAUGUUUGUUUACUUUAGUAAGAUUGCCUUAAGUGUAGUACUGUAACUUCACAAGUAAGAUUGUUUACUUUAGUAAGCAGUUCAAUGCUUGAGGUUGACUCUGCAGUAAUAUAACAACAACAACGUCUUGCUGUAUACCAUUAUGUGGAGUAAACAAUGAGCUGAAGUUUCUGACUGCAGGCAAGUUGUUGGCACCAAGCUGUUGUUAGGAUUGAUCUCCGUCGGAUUUGGCCCAACGGCCCUGAUUCUCAAUCAGCGCCUUGAUCGGGGGCGCCCCAACCAUAUAUGGUUGGUGGAGCUUCCCGCCGCUGCAGCGCCUCUUGCAGAUCGGAUGCUAGGGUUUUAGUGUCGGUGGGAUUGUGGCACGGCGAACGUUGGUUCGUGUGCCCUGGCCCCCAUGUCCUUUUAUAAGGCGCUGCGCGACGGGGGGUCCACCAACCAUAUAUGGUUGGGGCGCCGCCAAUCAGGGCGCUGAUUGAGAAUCAGGGUCGGAUUUGGUUGUUGGGGCCAAAUCCGGCGGAGAUCAAUCCUAAUAUUCUUCCCCUUGAUCUCGCUUCAUACUCGUACUUGACCUUAAACUUAGCUUGGUACCCAUUUCAUUACAGAUCAGUAUAUAGAGCAUGUCUCGUCAUAAUAGCCAGUUAUGUACUAUCAGAUUUGAUAGCUACAACACACUUUUCUGUUUUGAAACAGAUUCUUCUUCUAGGCCCUUAGUAUCCAGGUAUCAUAGGCUUUUCUGUAAAUCCAUGCCGGCUAAGUGUUCUCUGAACACAUUGGGCGGUAAGCCUUUUGUGAGCGGAUCCGCGAGCAUUUUUGUUGUUCUUAUAUGCUCUAAACUUAUGGUAUGAUCCUGGAUUCUGUCUUUCACAUUAUAAAACUUAAUGUCAAUGUGUUUGGCAGCACCACUUGACUUACUAUUAUGAGUGUAGAAUACUGUUGGCUCAUUGUCACAGUACAUCUUUAGUGGUUUCUGAAUGUUGUCUACCACUCUUAACCCGGGUACAAACUUCUUUAACUAGUUUGCCUACCCCGUGGCCUCAUAGCAUGCUACAAACUCGGCAAACAUCGUGGAGGAUGCCGUAAUAGUUUGCUUGGAGCUUUUCCACGAUACAGCUCCACCUGCGAGAGUGAAUACAUAACCUGACGUGGAUUUUCUAUCAUCUACAUCUCCUGCAAAAUCAGCAUCUGAAUACUCUUCUAUUUCAAGGGAAUCAGUCCUUCUAUACGUUAACAUGAGGCCUUUCGUCCCUUGCGUAUAACGCAAUGCCUUCUUCACCAUUUUCCAGUGAUCUAUUCCUGGAUUGUCUUGGUAUCUGCCAAGUACCCCGGUAACAAGAUCUAAGUCAGGGCACGUACAUACUUGAGCAUACAUCAAACUUCUGACAGCUGAAGAUAUGGAACCGCUUUCAUUUGAUCGAUCUCAUACUGGUUCCUGGGACUCUGAAAACUCUUAAAUUUGUCGCCCUUGACUAUGGGAGCAGGCGUAGGUCUACUCGCAUGCAUACUAUACUUCUUGAGAAUUUUCUCUAAGUAUGCCUUUUGCGAUAAUUCUAAUACCCCCUUUCUUCUAUCUCGGUGAAUCUCGAUUCCUAAAACGAAAGAGGCUUCACCAAGAUCUUUCAUAUCGAAGUUUGAGGAUAGGAAUUUCUUCAUCUCCAAUAGUAGACUAACAUCACUACUAGCAAGUAGGAUGUCAUCUACAUAUAGGAUAAGGAAAAUGAAUUUCCCAUUCUUAAACUUUGCAUAUACGCAAUUGUCUUCCUGAUUUUUACUGAACCCAAACUUUCUUAUUGUCUCAUGGAACUUCAAGUACCACUGCUUGGAGGUUUGUUUUAAUCCAUAAAUGGAUUUCUUCAGAUGGCAUCCCAUGUGUUCUUUUCCUUCCACGACAAAACCUUUGGGUUGUGCCAUGUAAAUGUUUUCUUCUAGGUCUCCAUUGAGAAAAGCCGUCUUUACAUCCAUCUGAUGUAACUCUAAAUCGUAGUGUGCCACUAAAGCCAUUAUGAUUCUAAAAGAAUCCUUACAUGAGACUGGAGAAAAGGUCUCAUUAUAGUCUAUUCCUUCUCUUUGUGUGAAACCUUUCGCAACAAGUCGUGCUUUAUAUCUUUCGACAUUCUCUUUGGAGAUCACAUUUUGUUUUGUAGACCUAUUUGCAGCCUACUGUCUUGGCUCCUUUAGAAAUUUCUUCUAGAUCCCAAACUUUGUUGCUACUCAUGGAUCUCAUUUCAUCUUCCAUGGCUUCAAGCCACUUCGAUGAGUGAGCACUUCUCAUAGCUUGUUCAAAUGAUGUGGGAUCUUCCUCCAUUUGAACUUCUUCACUGACAUAGACUUCAUAGUCAUCAGGAAUAGCUGGUUUUCUAAUUCUUUGAGACCUUCUAGGGGCCUCAACAACUGGCACAUCUUCCAUGGGGGGCUGUUGUAGCUCUUCCUCAUGUGCGGCAACAAGUUCUAUAGGAUCCUGAAGGACAGGUUCCUCAUGUUCAUGUGUCAUUGUCGUAUGAGAACUAACAACAGGUGCUGACACUACAGUAUCCUGUACUGUCGGUGUAGUAGCAGCAGGUACCACAGGAGAACUAACAGCAGGUGCUGUUACCACCGUGUCUUGCACUGUUGGUGUAACAACAACCGGUGUCAAGAAAAAAGGUUCCUGAACCAUCGGAAUGGGUACAUACACCCGUUUCUCCUCAAGGUUGAUUUCUCGGGGUACCAUGCUCCCCCUGAUCAUCUUAUCCUCUAGAAACACAGCGUGUCUCAUUUCUACAAACUUGGUAUAUCUGUCAGGAUAGUAGAAACGAUAACCUUUUGACUUCUCAGGGUAGCCAAUGAAAUGGCAACUAACUUUCUUAGGAUCUAACUUCCCAAUAUUUGGAUUAAAGACUUUAGCCUCAGCCAGACAACCCCAUACACGCAAAUAAUUAAGUGAGGGUUCUCGUCCAGUCCAUAACUCAUAUGGUGUUUGAGACACCGACUUACUAGGGACCCGAUUAAGGACAUGAAUGGCGGUUUUUAAUGCCUCCAUCCACAAACUAACCGGUACAGUGGAGUAACUUAUCAUGCUUCUCACCAUAUCCAUUAAGGUACGGUUACGUCUUUCAGCUACUCCAUUCUGCUGAGGCUCGCCUGGUGUAGAAUACUGGGCAACUAUGCCAUUUUCCUACAAAAAUCUUGCAAAAGGUCUAGGAGCUUGGCCAUAUGGGGUAUGUCGACCGUAGUACUUCCCCCCACGAUCGGAUCUGACUAUUUUAAUAUUUAAGUUAUGCUGAUUUUUUACUUCAGCCUUAAAUAUCUUGAAUUUAUCCAACGCUUCUGAAUGCUCUUUAAUUGGAUAAAUAUAACCAUAACGUGAGUAAUCAUCUGUGAAUGUUAUGAAAGAAUCAUAACCAUCCAUAGAUGUCACAGGAAAUGGACCACAGAUAUCUGUGUGAAUUAUUUCUAAAACUCCUAUGCUUCUCUUGGCGUCUUUCUUAAUUUUCUUAAUGAAUUUUCCCUUAAUGCAAUCGAUGCAUUGCUCUAAAUUGGAAAAUUCUAAGGGUGGAAGAAUUGAUUCCUUAACUAAUCGUUCUAUUCUCUCCCUCAAAAUAUGUCCUAAACGACAGUGCCAUAAUUUCGAUGAUACAUCAUCAAUUCUUUUCCACUUAUUCUUUACAUUCAUAGAUGAGGAGGCAUUCACAUUCUUAGUGCUUCCAGCAUUCACAUUCUCACAAAGUGAUAAUAAAUAAAGCUCGUCUUGUCGGAAGGCAAGACCAACAAUCUCAUUAUUAAACUUGAUUUUACAUUGUCCAUCACCAAAAUGACAAGAAAAACCAUCAUCGUCUAAGCGCGACACACUUAUUAAGUUUCUACACAAAGAGGGUACAAAAAGAACAUCUCUCAAGUGAAGUAUAAAGCCAUUGGCUAAUUCUAAUGGAAGUUCUCCAACGGCUUCGACUUCAGCUUGGACGCCAUUUGCAACUUUAAUGCUUCUUUCUCCUCUUUGCAGGAUCCUCCUCGUAUGGAAUCCCUGUAAUGAAUUUACAACAUGAAUAGUUGCACCUGAGUUAAUCCACCAAGUAGAUUUUUCAUAACUUAAAUACAAAGAUUCAUCUACAAAUGUAAUAAUAUCCUCACCUUUUUUCAUCAGGUGCUUCAGGAACUCUGGACAAUCCUUCUGAUAGUGUCCCUUCUUCUUGCACCACUUGCAAGUGUCCUUGUCCACCACCACUUCAUGGUUUGAUCUUUGAUGGUGAUCUUUCAUUGGAGCAUUUCCAUGUGCCUUGGAAGAAGAGGCAUUCCACUGAGGUUUCCCUUGUGGCUUAGAAUUCUGAAAAUUCCUCUUCUUGUUUUGGCUCAGAUAAUUUAUAGUAUCACCGGAUGAGCCCUUAAGCCUCUCUUCUUCUUGGACGCACAUAGCUAUCAUCUUUUCAACACCCCACUUUUCUGGUUGCGAGUUGUAAUUCACAGCAAAAGCUUCAAAUUCUUUUGGUAGUGAGGUGAAGAUCAGAUGAACUAUGAAGGCUUCUGGAAGCUCCAUCUCCAUAGACUUUAUCUUAGAAGACAUAUUGCUCAUUCGCAAUAUAUGUUCCCUUACACCGCCACCAGUGUACUUCGCAGUAACAAGCUUUCUUAUGAGGGUGCUUGCAUAUACUUUUGAAGAGCCAGUAAACUGACUCUCCACUUUUGUCAGGUACUUAGUGGCGGUCUUACAUUCUGGGAUUGCUCCCCUAAUUGCUUCUGUGAUGGAGCUUUUGAUCACCAUCAGGUACUUUCUGUUGGACGAGUCCCACUUCGCACGAUCGAGAUCAUACUGCAUUCUUAUUGGUGCAUGGUCGCGCACCCUUUUGUCAAAAUCCUUACUUUCAUUUUCGACCCUCACGGGGUCCCCAAGUUCUAUGGGACAGGGAGCAGUCAGUGCUAAAUCAAUGUCGGAUAGCGCAAGCGCUAUCUCGACCUUCUCUCACCAUGAGCCGUAGUUCCCUCCUGUGAGGGGCUCGAUGGACGAGAUAAAGCUCAUAGGAUUGCCGUCGUCCCCCUCUGGUCUGCCCUACACUUCACCCCUCUCCUACCCCGACAACGCCCAAUGGCGUCCUCGACAACCACACCACUCAAGACCGACGGUCGGUGUCUCUUACUCUUUCUCUAGGAUGUCACUGUGUAGAUCUAGGACAUCAUGUUGUUUAUCUAAAUCAAGUAGUAGACCCGCUAGAUUAGCACUUAGAAGUUCCUGUUAAUGCUAUCAGCUGUUUGCCAAGAAGGGCUCAGGUCGACAUUUUCUACCUCAAGGUAGCAUCUAAAAUCCAAGCCUUUAUUUAGCAUCUGGUGUAUUAUGUGAUGUGUUAAGUGGAGUGGUUUCGCUAUCUCUUACACAUAUUGUGCAUGACAGGUUUGGAGGUUUUACUGAAAAUGUUUGAUUGAAGUCGUCGGUUUCCAGCAGGUAGAGUGUCUAGAAUAGUUUCUGUUGUUUAUGUAUAGUUGAUUCUUCUGUCAGAUUCAUGUGUACUAAGAUUAUCGUGGCCAAACGUUUCGAUUGUCAUGAUUGUAUAUAUGCUAUAAUGUAAUGAUAGAUGUGUUCUGGUUGACUUGAUAAAGUCAUUUGAGUCAACUCUGGUGUAUUUGAGAAACAUAUUUAAAUGGUAUUUGUAUUAUUGAAA